UCACCAGGUAGGCAGAAUAGUCUUAUAUAGCCAUUUGUUGUCCAGGGCAAUUUUGCCUAUUAAGUCUGUUUCCUCCCAGUUAACCUUCCUUCCAUGAGCCUCUGAAGCUUGAUGUCUGAACUCAGGGAUGGUUUGGAAACCCCUACUUAGGCAGUCUUGGGUCUUCUCAAAUACUGCAGUCUAAUACCAUGUCCUGCCUGCUCUAAAACUGACUCCUGCUCCUUCCGUCUGUUUUUCCCAGUUUACAGAUCUGGCUUGUGUAUUCACUCUCUACAUGUCUAUGUAAGUAACCACAUUCGCAUUGGCUGAGAAGUCAUCACUUGCAAAAUAGUCUUUAUUGAGUUCAAGAGCCAACAUGCUCUCUGGUCCUUCUAAUCCAGCUGUUCUCAACCUUGGCUGCACAUGGAAUCACUGAGGGAGGCCUUGGUCUGCAGUAAAGCCUACACACCUCCCCAGGACUAAGUACGGAUUUCUGAGUAUAACCAUGGAAGAAGACCCUCGAAAGGGAACUGCUGAGUUAAAGGAAAUGUGCCAUUUAUACUUUGGCUAAAUGUUCCCACACUUUCAUUCCUGAAGUUGUGCCAAUUUAUGUUGGUAGAAACAAUGUAUUAGAGCACUUUCCCCAUCAUCAUAAAUACAGUGACUUGGAAGCUAAGGCCCAGAGAGGAGGAGAAACUUGAUCAAAGUCAAUCAGACAAUGCAGAAUCGAGAAAAGUACCUGGACCUCUAUGCCCAUGCUUCUAGCAGCCAGCCUCCUAAAAUACCUCUAGUUGAAGCCAAAGUUAGAAUCCUUCUACGAAACUACAGGAUUAAAAUGGAAUGGUUACAUGACCCAGGCUUGACCAAUCAGAUCAUCCAAACCCUUUGCCACAGUGAUUGGUCCAGGGAUACAUGCAUGAGCCAGCUCAGGUAAAUGAGACUCAAUUAUAAGAAUUUUGUUAGCGCAAUUGGGAAAAAGAAGUUUUCUUUCCAUGAGAACUAUCAGCUAUAAGAAUGUUGGAUGCUUCCAUCUGCUGGAGUCCAUGAAGAAGGUCCAUGAAAAUGAAGCCAGCACAACAACACAGAGCUAAGACAUACAAAGAGAUGGAGAUUAAAUUGAAUGGAACUUUUAAGCCCCUACAUGCCCUUGAAGCCAGAUAUCCCUGAACUUUUAAUUUAUAUUAGUUGAUAAAGUCCUUCUUUAGCUUAAGCCAAUUUGAAUUAGAGUAUUUUUCACUUGGGGUCCAAAAGAGCUCUCAAUACAAAAGUCUGACUGAGUGCAUGAUGUGCUGGUUUCAACCUCAAGGGAACAGGGAAAGGGAAAGAAAGAGGCAGAGGUUGUGAACAGGACAGUAGAAGGUGGUCAGGAGACAAAUAUCUGGACUCAACUUUGUCCCUACUGUGUGGCCUUGAAUAGUGAGUUAACCACUCCGAGCCUCAGUUUCCCCAUCUGGAAAAAAAAGUUAGUGGACAGUCACUAGUUCUCAGACAGAACUCUGUAGCAGCGAGAGGGUAAUGGGGAUUGAGAGUCCCAGACUUGCAUUCUGAGGGACUAGCUCUCCUCUUAUCUAUAUCAUAUACCAGGUUUUCUUGUAAGGUUUUGUUAGAAUGGGUCUCACUGUUAAAAUGGAUUAGCUGAUCAUUUCAGUUCUAUUUAUAUUAAAGUCUAAAUUGAAUCAAGGCUCAGCUGGGGCCCAGUAAGAAUGUAGUGCCUGGUUAAUAAUAUUUUCUACUCUAUGAUAGGAGUUGGCCAGAAGCCAAGGUCAAAAACUCAAUCCCUGGAGGGUUUAUUUGCUUUCUGCAGACAUAAAAAAUUGUUAAUAACAAUGAUCUGCAUCCCCAAUCUUGAGAGCUGUCUUAGAGAUGUGGGUCAUUGAUCACAGAAGGGGCUGGGAAAAGGAAUGUGGAUGAUUCCAAAUAGUCAUUAGCUCUGCCUUAAAUGCCAAUACAAACACUACUGCCAAUGCUCAAGGCAAGCAACCUCUUCAUAGCUAGAACACAGAGGGUGGUGUGCUUGAAGGCUUUUGUUUCUCCUCAAGACAGUGUAGAAAAAGCUGAGAAAACAAAGAGCACUUGUUUCACAAUUAACUGCACAACACCUGAUGUAUAUCCACAGUCCUCUAAAUUAAUAUGGAUUCGCUUUUCUUUAUAAAGACAACAUACACAUUGUAGUGGAAAUCGGAUGGGAGGAUAAUUUUUAUGAAAGCAUAUAACAGUAUUUUUAUAAAAUAUAAAUUAUCAUUACAGUAAAAUAUAUUAACUUCAAGGCAAGUUUUGACACUGUAUGCAAGUUUAAAGUAUUUCAAAUUUUUAAAAAGUGUAUCUUAACAAAUAAAUUUUAGCACCAAUUGCCAGAAUUGUUGUCCACCACUAUAGUCAAAACAAUUUUCUUUUCUUUAUUUCAACUAAAAAUUGUGAAUGGGACUAAAGUCUUUAUGCAAAUAUAUACUCCAAUAAUAAUAUUAAUCUUGCCAACAGUAGCUGAAUAUUUAAUUAACUUUAACAAACAUGUUGAAAGAUAAUAAACUAAAAAAACUAUUUUUCCUUAUAGUCUCUGUAUAACUAGGUGCUUUCUCAUUAGAAAGCUUAUUUUUUCAAAAGUAUAUAUAACAUAGGUAAUUUAUAUUAAUAAAAAAUAAAAAGUUGCAAAUUU
rnacentral:lncRNA from 1 species